rnacentral:pre_miRNA from 1 species
CAGCCAGGGCCUUAGGAAGGAGCAUUCAGGACACCUCCACCAUGGCCUGGACCACGCUUUUCAUUGGCCUCCUUGCUCACUGCACAGGUGC